UACGAAGGGGGCUAGCGUUGCUCGGAAUGACUGGGCGUAAAGGGCGCGUAGGCGGUUGGCACAGUCAGAUGUGAAAUUCCUGGGCUGAACCUGGGGGCUGCAUUUGAUACGUGUGAUCUGGAGUGAGGAAGAGGGUUGUGGAAUUCCCAGUGUAGAGGUGAAAUUCGUAGAUAUUGGGAAGAACACCGGUGGCGAAGGCGGCUAUCUGGACCGUAACUGACGCUGAGGCGCGAAGGCGUGGGGAGCAAACAGG
rnacentral:rRNA from 1 species